rnacentral:rRNA from 1 species
AAAUGAAUAGACGGGGACCCGCACAAGCAGUGGAGUAUGUGGUUUAAUUCGAAGCAACGCGAAGAACCUUACCGGCCCUUGACAUCGUGUGCAUACCUAAGAGAUUAGGGAAGUCCUUCGGGACACACAGACAGGUGGUGCAUGGUUGUCGUCAGCUCGUGUCGUGAGAUGUUGGGUUAAGUCCCGCAACGAGCGCAACCCUUACUGUUAGUUGCUACGAAAGAGCACUCUAACGGGACUGCCGUUGACAAAACGGAGGAAGGUGGGGACGACGUCAAAUCAUCAUGCCCCUUAUGGGCCGGGCUACACACGUACUACAAUGGACGGAAACAGAGGGAAGCAAUAUAGCGAUAUGGAGCAAAUCCCUAAACCCGUUCUCAGUUCGGAUUGCAGGCUGCAACCCGCCUGCAUGAAGUCGGAAUUGCUAGUAAUCUCGAAUCAGCAUGUCGAGGUGAAUACGUUCCCGGGUCUUGUACACACCGCCCGU